rnacentral:rRNA from 1 species
UACAGAGGGUGCAACCGUUGCUCGGAAUCAUUGGGCGUAAAGCGCACGUAGGCGGUCCGUCAAGUGGGGUGUGAAAGCCCUCGGCUCAACCGAGGAAUUGCGCUCCAAACUGUCGGGCUCGAGGGAGAUAGAGGUGAGCGGAACUGAUGGUGGAGCGGUGAAAUGCGUUGAUAUCAUCAGGAACACCAGAGGCGAAGGCGGCUCACUGGGUCUCUUCUGACGCUGAGGAACGAAAGCUAGGGGAGCAAACGGG